CUCACCUUGAAAUAAGAUUCGACCGGCUAUGCGAAUUAGCAAAUCUACCUUAGAUGUAACCUAUGGCCAAAUUGUACAACAUAACCUAGAAAUCAUCUGUCAUCUUUAGAGGAAUUUAAUUUUUCACUUAGUUGUGAAAUGUCAUGAAAUUUACGUUAUUUAUGUAAUUGCGCAUACAUCUUGAAUUUCUCUCCAUCAAAUAAUUCUCGAAGAAAAACAUUGAUUAUAUCAACACGUUAUUUAUUGGUACUUAUUCUUUAAUGAAUCUGCCGAGACAUCUCAAUCAUCGUACACAAAAGAAAUUAAUAAGAAUACAAGAAAAGUCUUUG
rnacentral:lncRNA from 13 species